UAAGCGCGAACUUCGAAAGGGGA
rnacentral:siRNA from 1 species